AUGAACGCUAGCUACAGGCUUAACACAUGCAAGUCGAGGGGCAGCAUGGUCUUAGCUUGCUAAGGCCGAUGGCGACCGGCGCACGGGUGAGUAACACGUAUCCAACCUGCCGUCUACUCUUGGACAGCCUUCUGAAAGGAAGAUUAAUACAAGAUGGCAUCAUGAGUCCGCAUGUUCACAUGAUUAAAGGUAUUCCGGUAGACGAUGGGGAUGCGUUCCAUUAGAUAGUAGGCGGGGUAACGGCCCACCUAGUCUUCGAUGGAUAGGGGUUCUGAGAGGAAGGUCCCCCACAUUGGAACUGAGACACGGUCCAAACUCCUACGGGAGGCAGCAGUGAGGAAUAUUGGUCAAUGGGCGAGAGCCUGAACCAGCCAAGUAGCGUGAAGGAUGACUGCCCUAUGGGUUGUAAACUUCUUUUAUAAAGGAAUAAAGUCGGGUAUGGAUACCCGUUUGCAUGUACUUUAUGAAUAAGGAUCGGCUAACUCCGUGCCAGCAGCCGCGGUAAUACGGAGGAUCCGAGCGUUAUCCGGAUUUAUUGGGUUUAAAGGGAGCGUAGAUGGAUAUUUAAGUCAGUUGUGAAAGUUUGCGGCUCAACCGUAAAAUUGCAGUUGAUACUGGAUAUCUUGAGUGCAGUUGAGGCAGGCGGAAUUCGUGGUGUAGCGGUGAAAUGCUUAGAUAUCACGAAGAACUCCGAUUGCGAAGGCAGCCUGCUAAGCUGCAACUGACAUUGAGGCUCGAAAGUGUGGGUAUCAAACAGGAUUAGAUACCCUGGUAGUCCACACGGUAAACGAUGAAUACUCGCUGUUUGCGAUAUACGGCAAGCGGCCAAGCGAAAGCGUUAAGUAUUCCACCUGGGGAGUACGCCGGCAACGGUGAAACUCAAAGGAAUUGACGGGGGCCCGCACAAGCGGAGGAACAUGUGGUUUAAUUCGAUGAUACGCGAGGAACCUUACCCGGGCUUAAAUUGCAGAUGAAUUACGGUGAAAGCCGUAAGCCGCAAGGCAUCUGUGAAGGUGCUGCAUGGUUGUCGUCAGCUCGUGCCGUGAGGUGUCGGCUUAAGUGCCAUAACGAGCGCAACCCUUGUUGUCAGUUACUAACAGGUUCCGCUGAGGACUCUGACAAGACUGCCAUCGUAAGAUGUGAGGAAGGUGGGGAUGACGUCAAAUCAGCACGGCCCUUACGUCCGGGGCUACACACGUGUUACAAUGGGGGGUACAGAGGGCCGCUACCACGCGAGUGGAUGCCAAUCCCAAAAACCUCUCUCAGUUCGGACUGGAGUCUGCAACCCGACUCCACGAAGCUGGAUUCGCUAGUAAUCGCGCAUCAGCCACGGCGCGGUGAAUACGUUCCCGGGCCUUGUACACACCGCCCGUCAAGCCAUGGGGGCCGGGGGUACCGGAAGUGCGAACCGCGAGGAGCGCCCUAGGGUAAAACUGGUGACUGGGGCU
rnacentral:rRNA from 1 species